rnacentral:rRNA from 1 species
GAUGAACGCUAGCUACAGGCUUAACACAUGCAAGUCGAGGGGAAACGGCAUUGAGUGCUUGCACUCUUUGGACGUCGACCGGCGCACGGGUGAGUAACGCGUAUCCAACCUUCCCAUUACUGUGGGAUAACCUGCCGAAAGGCAGACUAAUACCGCAUAGUCUUCGAUGACGGCAUCAGAUUUGAAGUAAAGAUUUAUCGGUAAUGGAUGGGGAUGCGUCUGAUUAGCUUGUUGGCGGGGUAACGGCCCACCAAGGCUACGAUCAGUAGGGGUUCUGAGAGGAAGGUCCCCCAAAUUGGAACUGAGACACGGUCCAAACUCCUACGGGAGGCAGCAGUGAGGAAUAUUGGUCAAUGGACGGAAGUCUGAACCAGCCAAGUAGCGUGAAGGAUGACGGCCCUAUGGGUUGUAAACUGCUUUUGUAUGGGGAUAAAGUUAGGGACGUGUCCCUAUUUGCAGGUACCAUACGAAUAAGGACCGGCUAAUUCCGUG